CCUACGGGUGGCUGCAGUAGGGAAUAUUGCUCAAUGGGGGAAACCCUGAAGCAGCAACGCCGCGUGAAUGAUGAAGGUCUUCGGAUUGUAAAGUUCUGUGAUGGGGGAUGAACACAAUGACGGUACCCCAAUAGCAAGCCACGGCUAACUACGUGCCAGCAGCCGCGGUAAUACGUAGGUGGCAAGCGUUAUCCGGAAUGACUGGGCGUAAAGGGUGCGUAGGUGGUUUAGUAAGUUGGCGGUGUAAUUCCGGGGCUCAACCUCGGCGCUACCGCCAAAACUAUUAGACUAGAGUGCAGGAGGGGUAAGUGGAAGUCCUAGGGUAGCGGUGGAAUGCGUAGAUAUUAGGAGGAACAUCAGGGGCGAAGGCGACUUACUGGACUGUAACUGACACUGAGGCACGAAAGCGUGGGGAGCAAACAGGAUUAGAUACCCUUGUAGUC
rnacentral:rRNA from 1 species